rnacentral:rRNA from 1 species
UACGUAGGGUCCAAGCGUUGUCCGGAUUUAUUGGGCGUAAAGCGUGCGUAGACGGUUAUGUAAGUCAGGUGUGAAAGCCCAGGGCUCAACCUUGGAAUUGCAUUUGAGACUGCAUAGCUAGGGUGCGGAAGAGGGAAGCGGAAUUUCCGGUGUAGCGGUGAAAUGCGUAGAUAUCGGAAGGAACACCAGUGGCGAAAGCGGCUUCCUGGUCCAGCACCGACGUUCAGGCACGAAAGCGUGGGGAGCAAACAGG